AGCUCGAGUUUCUCUUCAUUAUCGCAUAAAUCUUUCUCCUUUUCCUAAAGAUUUCCGUGGAGGGGAAAUUUUUGCGAGUGAUCUGUAUAUUUGAAGGCUCUGAUCACAGCAGAGCU
rnacentral:snRNA from 1 species